AUGCGUGAGGGGAACCGUGCUAGCGGGGCCAGGGCGGGGAUCCGGGAAUGCGUGAGGGGAACCGUGCUAGCGGGGCCAGGGCGGGGAUCCGGGAAUGCGAGGAGAACCUUGCUAGUGGGCGAGAGUGGCGAUCCUACCGUUCUCUGCAGCCACAGUGCUGUGCCCGGUUCUGCGCUCCUCAGUGCGAGAGAGACGGGAGCUCCAGGAGUGGGUCCAGCGGACGGUGACAAAGAUGAGAAGGAGCUGAUGUCCGUAGCAGGACAGGCUAAGAGAGCUGCUCCGGAAGAGACGGCUGAGACGGGACCUCACCAAUGUUUAUCAGUGUUGAAGGGAGGCUGCCAAAAGGAUGGAGCCAGGCUCUGCUCGGUGGUGCCCAGCAAUAGGAUGAGAGGAAUCAGGCAGAGACUAAUGCACGGGAAGUUCCACCUAAACAUGAUGGUGAACUUCUUCACUGUGUGAGUGACUGAGCACUGGAACAGACUUCCCAGAGAGGCUGUGGAGCCUCCCUCACUGGGGAUACCCAAGAACCUCCUGGACACAAUCCUGUGCCUUGUGCUCUGGGAUGACCCUGCCUGAGCAGGGAGGUUGGACCAGAUGUCCCACUUGGUCCCUUCCAACCUGGCCCAUUCAGUGACCCUGUGAUAUCCACAGGUGAUAGAUAGGAAAGGUGCUCAGCUGCCACCUGGGACGCCUGCACCUGGGCAGUCAAUCCCAGCAAAGCCUGGGUCCACCGAUCCCAGUCAGGCUGCACUGGUUUCAUGCCUGUCCUGCAGUCCUUGCUUUUUUAAAUAUAAAUUUUGUCUUUUUAAAAAUA
rnacentral:lncRNA from 12 species